rnacentral:tRNA from 1 species
UAAAAUAAAGCGAUAUUUUGCAAUCAGUUUCGACCUGAUCUUAGAAAAACUUUUCUAUUUUUU